rnacentral:rRNA from 1 species
AAUGAACGUUGGCGGCGUGCUUAACACAUGCAAGUCGAGCGAGAAAAGCUUUCGGGCUUAGUAAAGCGGCGGACGGGUGAGUAACGCGUGGGAAUCUGCCCUUUAGUGAAGGAUACCCUCGAGAAAUUGAGGUUAAUACUGCAUUCGCCCCGUAAGGGGGAAAGAUGGCCUCUUUGCUGUCGCUGAAGGAUGAGCCUGCGUACUAUUAGCUAGUUGGUGGGGUAAAGGCCUACCAAGGCGAUGAUGGUUAACCGGCCUGAGAGGGUGUUCGGUCACAUUGGAACUGAGACACGGUCCAAACUCCUACGGGAGGCAG